AUUGAACGCUGGCGGCAUGCCUUACACAUGCAAGUCGAACGGUAACGGGUUAAGCCGACGAGUGGCGAACGGGUGAGUAAUAUAUCGGAACGUGCCCAGUCGUGGGGGAUAACGUAGCGAAAGCUACGCUAAUACCGCAUACGAUCUAUGGAUGAAAGCGGGGGAUAGCAAGACCUCGCGCGAUUGGAGCGGCCGAUAUCAGAUUAGGUAGUUGGUGGGGUAAAGGCCCACCAAGCCGACGAUCUGUAGCUGGUCUGAGAGGACGACCAG
rnacentral:rRNA from 1 species